CUGGCUCUGUUGCUCACAAUGAUUCUGUUUGGCAAGCGUUUUUAAAAAGCCUUGGUAAGUUCCAGAUGGUGACCACUUGCCUCAUUUAUCCUCCAUUUGAAAAAAUUCAAAAACUAUUCAUUUGUUUGCAUACCAAGGCAGUACAGAAUCUUCUACAGUGGCAUUUCGAUGUGCCACACUGUCCUGAAAUCCAGUAGUUACAUUUCAUCAAUUAGAACCUGCAACCCCAUGUUGAACAAAAAUGGUGAGAAGGAAAUAUCUGUGACUUGCUCCUGAUCUUCAGCCUCCCACCCCUAGAAAAGAAUAAAUGCCUGAGGAUUGAAAUUGGCAACCAAUCUUUGAAAGCCUAGUAGACACCCGAUGCCUUCAACAUGUCUUAUAUGACCCUUGCCUCCAGCCUGUAAGGCUGGAGUGCAGUGGUGUGAUCUCAGCUCACUGAAACCUCCACCUCCCGGAUUCAAGCAAUUCUCUUGCCUCAGCCUCCUGAGUAGCUGGGAUUACAGGUACCCUCUAUCAUGCCCGGGUAAUUUAAAUACUUUAUGGAGCACAUAUAACUUACGAGAGCAGCAUUCUUGCAUAAAGUAAACAUUAAAACAUAUCUUCAUUUUAUGUAUUUUAUACAUGC